rnacentral:tRNA from 1 species
GCGAGAGUGGCGGAAUUGGCAGACGCGCUGGACUUAGGAUCCAGUGCCGGAAGGUGUAGGGGUUCAAGUCCCCUCUCUCGCACCA